rnacentral:rRNA from 1 species
UCUUGAAACACGGACCAAGGAGUCUAACAUGUACGCGAGUCAUUGGGACCGCACUAAACGUAAAGGCGAAAUGAAAGUAAAGGUCGCGGCGCGAGCCCGGCCCACAGAGGGGGGAAGCGCGCGCGUCGGCCACGGUGUCAAGCGCGCGCCGCACCCCCGGGGCGUCUCGUUCUCAUUGCGAGACAGCAGGCGCACCCAGAGCGUACACGUUGGGACCCGAAAGAUGGUGAACUAUGCCUGGUCAGGUCGAAGUCACUGGCACUCGGAGGCAAUAAAUGUGAUGGAGAGACAGUGCAAAUGGCGGCUGCGUCCCAGAGGCGUGGCCGCGUCGCCAGUCUCAUCUG